rnacentral:rRNA from 1 species
CUGAAUCCAUAGGUUAAUGAGGCGAACCGGGGGAACUGAAACAUCUAAGUACCCCGAGGAAAAGAAAUCAACCGAGAUUCCCCCAGUAGCGGCGAGCGAACGGGGAGGAGCCCAGAGCCUGAAUCAGUGUGUGUGUUAGUGGAAGCGUCUGGAAAGGCGCGCGAUACAGGGUGACAGCCCCGUACACAAAAAUGCACAUGCUGUGAGCUCGAUGAGUAGGGCGGGACACGUGGUAUCCUGUCUGAAUAUGGGGGGACCAUCCUCCAAGGCUAAAUACUCCUGACUGACCGAUAGUGAACCAGUACCGUGAGGGAAAGGCGAAAAGAACCCCGGCGAGGGGAGUGAAAAAGAACCUGAAACCGUGUACGUACAAGCAGUGGGAGCACGCUUAGGCGUGUGACUGCGUACCUUUUGUAUAAUGGGUCAGCGACUUAUAUUCUGUAGCAAGGUUAACCGAAUAGGGGAGCCGAAGGGAAACCGAGUCUUAACUGGGCGUUAAGUUGCAGGGUAUAGACCCGAAACCCGGUGAUCUAGCCAUGGGCAGGUUGAAGGUUGGGUAACACUAACUGGAGGACCGAACCGACUAAUGUUGAAAAAUUAGCGGAUGACUUGUGGCUGGGGGUGAAAGGCCAAUCAAACCGGGAGAUAGCUGGUUCUCCCCGAAAGCUAUUUAGGUAGCGCCUCGUGAAUUCAUCUCCGGGGGUAGAGCACUGUUUCGGCAAGGGGGUCAUCCCGACUUACCAACCCGAUGCAAACUGCGAAUACCGGAGAAUGUUAUCACGGGAGACACACGGCGGGUGCUAACGUCCGUCGUGAAGAGGGAAACAACCCAGACCGCCAGCUAAGGUCCCAAAGUCAUGGUUAAGUGGGAAACGAUGUGGGAAGGCCCAGACAGCCAGGAUGUUGGCUUAGAAGCAGCCAUCAUUUAAAGAAAGCGUAAUAGCUCACUGGUCGAGUCGGCCUGCGCGGAAGAUGUAACGGGGCUAAACCAUGCAC